GAUGAACGCUGGCGGCGUGCUUAACACAUGCAAGUCGAACGGAAAGGCCCUGCUCUUGUGGGGUUCUCGAGUGGCGAACGGGUGAGUAACACGCGAGUAACCUGCCCUUGACUUUGGGAUAACUUCAGGAAACUGGGGCUAAUAUCGGAUAGGAGCUCUUGCUGCAUGGUGGGGGUUGGAAAGUUUCGGCGGUUUGGGAUGGACUCGCGGCUUAUCAGCUAGUUGGUGGGGUAGUGGCUUACCAAGGCUGUGACGGGUAGCCGGCCUGAGAGGGUGACCGGGCACAAUGGGACUGAGAUACGGCCCAGACGGCUACGGGAGGCAGCGGUGGGGAACAUUGCACAAUGGGGGGGAGCCUGAUGCAGCAGCCUCGCGUGCGGGAUGACGGCCUUCGGGUUAUAAACAGCUUUCGCCGGAAACGAAGCGUGAGUGACGGUAAUGAAUAAAGAAGCACCGGCUAACUACGUG
rnacentral:rRNA from 1 species